rnacentral:lncRNA from 1 species
AAUCGAUAUUAUUAUUAAUAAAAAAUAGAUAAUCGAUAUUAAUUUAUUAUUUAUAAUUAAUUAAUAAUAAUAAUUAAUAAUUAUUAUUUUUAAUAAUUAUCAAUUAUUAUUUUUAUGAAUUAGAUAUUCAAUAUUUUUAAUUUAUUAUUUAUAAUUAAUUAUUAAUAAUUAAUUUAUUAUUUAUUUUUAAGUAAUAUUUUGAUGUUAACUAAUUAUAUAAUAUAAUUUUAAUUUCAAAUUAUAACUCUUAUUCCUCUUGUUCCAAUCUAACUAUCCAAACAUUAUUUACCUUAUUCUUAGGAACAACCCAAUUUUCAUCCAAACGCAAAAUUGGUCUAGUUCUUGCUUAUACCUGAACUUGUACCUAUCCCUGGAACUAGCAGGUAUUACUUAUACCUGAACCAAACGCAGCCAUAGAGUCCGGCUGGGAUACUAUCAAUAGCACCAAGCGUUUGGUGCUAUCGAGUUUUCCACCGUUAGAUUUAACCUAUUAAUCAUUUUACCCGUUAGAUUAUACUAUUCAACCAACCACCCACUCAACCCUAAGGGGCCCACAUCAUCCUAAUCGCACAAUUCUCAAUCCAAGGGCUNUCUAGCUCAACUCUAUAUAUAUAUAUAUAUAUAUAUAUAUAUAUAUGUAUAUAUAUAUAUAUAUAUGUAUUACCUAAAUUUCACAAAAGACCUGUUCUCACGUCUCGUGUAAUUCCGGGCAAUUGGCCUGACAGAUUCAAAAACAUAUUACACCAACACCUUUGGAAUUGCAGACCCUCAAAUUUGAGUUUUUGUUUCAUCAGAAUCGGUCGCUGAUUUGCCAGGAUUCCAUCCCUUUCUCGCCUCUACAUAUAUACAUAUAGGUAGCGUUUGGUUCGGGAACAAGGGGGGAAUAAGCCCUUGUUCCCUCCUUUGUUCCCAAAUGUGUUGUUUGGUACCCGGAAACAAUAGUUCCAGAGUUUCAAGAACAAGCUGGUAUAAGGCUGGAACUGUCGUUCCACCAUUUUCCUGGAACAAGCUUGUUCCUUAAUGAGAACAAGGUUAAUUAAAAUCUAAAUUUAAUUUUAAGGCAGUAAAUUAUUAAUUAAUCUAAUUAAUAUAUUUAAAUUAUUAUUUAUUGCUUUAAUAAUUAAAUAAUUAAUUAAUUUAUUAUUUAAAGUUAAUUAAUAAUAAUUAGAUAAUUAUUAUAAUUAAUUUAUUAUUUAUAAUUAAUUAAUAAUAAUUAGAUAAUUAUUAUAAUUAAUUUAUUAUUUAUUUUUAAGUAAUAUUUUGAUGUUAACUAAUUAUAUAAUAUAAUUUUAAUUUCAAAUUAUAACUCUUAUUCCUCUUGUUCCAAUCUAACUAUCCAAACAUUAUUUACCUUAUUCUUAGGAACAACCCAAUUUUCAUCCAAACGCAAAAUUGGUCUAGUUCUUGCUUAUACCUGAACUUGUACCUAUCCCUGGAACUAGCAGGUAUUACUUAUACCUGAACCAAACGCAGCCAUAGAGUCCGGCUGGGAUACUAUCAAUAGCACCAAGCGUUUGGUGCUAUCGAGUUUUCCACCGUUAGAUUUAACCUAUUGACUAUUUUCACCCGUUAGAUUAUACUAUUAAACCAAUAACUAACUCAACCCUAGGGGGCCUACAUCAUCCUAACCGUACAUUAUUUCAUCCAAGGGCUGAAAACUUAAUAGCACCAAUAGCUUGGUGCUAUUAAUAGUAUUCCAGCCUAGGUCUAUACAUAUAUAUAUUUAACCCAUUGACUAUUUUCACCCGUUAGAUUAUACUAUUAAACCAAUAACUAACUCAACCCU